CCUACGGGAGGCAGCAGUGAGGAAUAUUGGUCAAUGUGCGCGAGCCUGAACCAGCCAAGUCGCGUGAAGGAUGACUGCCCUACGGGUUGUAAACUUCUUUUAUAAAGGAAUAAAGUGAGGCACGUGUGCCUUUUUGUAUGUACUUUAUGAAUAAGGAUCGGCCAACUUCGUGCCAGCAGCCGCGGUAAUACGGAGGAUCCGAGCGUUAUCCGGAUUUAUUGGGUUUAAAGGGAGCGUAGAUGGGUUGUUAAGUCAGUUGUGAAAGUUUGCGGCUCAACCCUAAAAUUGCAAUUGAUACUGGCAGCCUUGAGUACAGUUGAGGUAGGCGGAAUUCGUGGUGUAGCGGUGAAAUGCUUAGAUAUCACGAAGAACUCCGAUUGCGAAGGCAGCUUACUAAACUGCCACUGACAUUGAUGCUCGAAAGUGUGGGUAUCAAACAGGAUUAGAUACCCGAGUAGUC
rnacentral:rRNA from 1 species